rnacentral:ribozyme from 12 species
UUAAGGUCAUCAAACUCAAAAUGUCAUACUCCUCAACAACGAGACAAAAAGGAAAAAAAUCACCACGAGCAAACCCGCCAUACACCAAAUGAGAUGUCUUUUUUCUUUCUUUUUGUUUUUAAUGUGAUCUGACACGUCUCCUUGUUUUUAUUUGGAUUCAUUUUUAU